rnacentral:sRNA from 1 species
UUGUCGAUUAGUUAAUUUAAGUAGUAGAACAAUAAUAACUAA